AUGAGGGGAGAAGAUCUCUGUUAUGUCGUUCUCCAGUCUUUUGUCUCUGCAGUGUGAGUGGAGUUCCCGCAGCAUGUGUCAGUCCUGCAGUGAGUCCU